GACAAAUACUGCAGAAAGCCUGUGCUCUACA
rnacentral:piRNA from 1 species